AAGCUCGUAGUUGAAUUUCGGGGUCAGUAGGUUGGUCAUGCCACUGGUAUGUACUGGUCUCACUGAUUCCUCCUUCCUGAUGAGCCGUAAUGCCAUUAAUUUGGUGUUGCGAGGAAUCUGGACUGUUACUUUGAAAAAAUUAGAGUGUUUAAAGCAGGCUAACGCUUGAAUCCAUUAGCAUGGAAUAAUGAAAUAGGACGUUCGAUCUUAUUUUGUUGGUUUCUAAGAUUGACGUAAUGAUUAAUAGGGAUAGUUGGGGGCAUUAGUAUUCAAUUGUCAGGGGUGAAAUUCUUGGAUUUAUUGAAGACUAACUACUGCGAAAGCAUUUGCCAAGGAUGUUUUCAUUAAUCAAGAACGAAAGUUAGGGGAUCGAAGACGAUCAGAUACCGUCGUAGUCUUAACCAUAAACUAUGCCGACUAGGGAUCGGAUGAUGUUAAUUUUUUAAUGACUCAUUCGGCGCCUUACGGGAAACCAAAGUGUUUGGGUUCCGGGGGGAGUAUGGUCGCAAGGCUGAAACUUAAAGGAAUUGACGGAAGGGCACCACCAGGCGUGGAGCCUGCGGCUUAAUUUGACUCAACACGGGGAAACUUACCAGGUCCAGACAUAGCAAGGAUUGACAGACUGAGAGCUCUUUCUUGAUUCUAUGGGUG
rnacentral:rRNA from 1 species